rnacentral:pre_miRNA from 1 species
AACAUACUCCCUCCAUCCCAAAAUACUUGUCAUCAAAAUGGAUAAAAAGAGAUGUAUCUAGAACUAAAAUAUGUCUAGAUACAUUCCCUUUUAUCCAUUUUGAUGACAAGUAUUUCCGGACGGAGGGAGUAGUAA